rnacentral:rRNA from 1 species
AGUACAACGGAGGUGCCUGGGCUGUUGCUGACCUCAAGGUCGUGCACGCCCGGAGUGCUCUCUCACAUCCAUCUCACCCCUUUGUGCAUCAUCGCGUGGGGCCCUCUCCUUUGGCUUGUUCCGGAAGGGGGGGGGUUCACGUUUUUACACGAACAACCCAUUAAUGCAUGUGUAGAAUGUCUUACUUUUUGCGGUCACACGCAAUCAAUACAACUUUCAACAACGGAUCUCUUGGCUCUCGCAUCGAUGAAGAACGCAGCGAAAUGCGAUACGUAAUGUGAAUUGCAGAAUUCAGUGAAUCAUCGAAUCUUUGAACGCACCUUGCGCCCCUUGGUAUUCCGAGGGGUGCACCCGUUUGAGUGUCGUGAACACCCUCAACCUUCUUGGUUUAUCGACCGGGAAGGCUUGGACUUUGGAGGUUUUUGUUGCUGGCCUCGUUUGAAGCCAGCUCCUCCUAAACGAAUUAGUGGGGUCCGCCGUGCCGACCCUCGACGUGAUAAGUACGCUUCUACGUCUUGGGGGUUUCGCACUGUCGCCUGCUUCCAACCGUCUUCGAAUGAAGACAACCUUAUAGACCUUGACCUCAAUCGGGUG